rnacentral:rRNA from 1 species
AACGAACGCUGGCGGCAGGCUUAACACAUGCAAGUCGAACGCACCUUUCGGGGUGAGUGGCAGACGGGUGAGUAACGCGUGGGAAUCUACCCUUCUCUACGGGAUAGCUCCGGGAAACUGGAAUUAAUACCGUAUACGUCAUGAGGGAGAAAGAUUUAUCGGGGAAGGAUGAGCCCGCGUUGGAUUAGCUAGUUGGUGGGGUAAAGGCCUACCAAGGCGACGAUCCAUAGCUGGUCUAAGAGGAUGAUCAGCCACAUUGGGACUGAGACACGGCCCAAACUCCUACGGGAGGCAGCAGUGGGGAAUAUUGGACAAUGGGCGCAAGCCUGAUCCAGCCAUGCCGCGUGAGUGAUGAAGGCCCUAGGGUUGUAAAGCUCUUUCAGUGGGGACGAUAAUGACGGUACCCACAGAAGAAGCCCCGGCUAACUUCGUGCCAGCAGCCGCCGUAA